rnacentral:rRNA from 1 species
UCAGGAUGAACGCUAGCGGCAGGCCUAACACAUGCAAGUCGAGGGGUAAGGCUCUCUUCGGAGAGUACACGACCGGCGAACGGGUGCGUAACGCGUAUGCAACCUGCCUGUAUCUGGAACAUAGCCCCGAGAAAUCGGGAUUAAUUUUCCAUAAUAUCCUUUUGUGACAUCACUUUUGGAUUAAAGCUCCGGCGGAUACAGAUGGGCAUGCGUGACAUUAGCUUGUUGGUGCGGUAACGGCGCACCAAGGCCAAGAUGUCUAGGGGGUCUGAGAGGAUGAUCCCCCACACUGGUACUGAGACACGGACCAGACUCCUACGGGAGGCAGCAGUGAGGAAUAUUGCGCAAUGGAGGAAACUCUGACGCAGCCAUGCCGCGUGAAGGAUGACGGCCCUAUGGGUUGUAAACUUCUUUUCUGCUUCAAGAAACAGUCGUACGUGUACGGCUUUGACGGUAGAGCAGGAAUAAGCAUCGGCUAACUCCGUGCCAGCAGCCGCGGUAAUACGGAGGAUGCAAGCGUUAUCCGGAUUCAUUGGGUAUAAAGCGUGCGCAGGCGGGUGGGUAAGUCAGAGGUGAAAGCCCGCAGCUUAACUGUGGAAUUGCCUUUGAUACUGCUCACCUUGAGUCCAGCUGAGGUAGGCGGAAUGUAGUAUGUAGCGGUGAAAUGCUUAGAUAUACUACAGAACACCGAUUGCGAAGGCAGCUUACCAAACUGGCACUGACGCUCAGGCACGAAAGCGUGGGGAGCGAACAGGAUUAGAUACCCUGGUAGUCCACGCCGUAAACGUUGAUCACUCGUUGUUGGCAAUACACCGUCAGCGACCUAGCUAAUGCGCUAAGUGAUCCACCUGGGGAGUACGAUCGCAAGGUUGAAACUCAAGGGAAUUGACGGGGGCCCGCACAAGCGGAGGAGCAUGUGGUUUAAUUCGAUGAUACGCGAGGAACCUUACCUGGGCUUAAAUGUAGUGUGCAUUCCCGUGAAAACGGGAUUUCCUUCGGGACCCACUACAAGGUGCUGCAUGGUUGUCGUCAGCUCGUGCCGUGAGGUGUCGGGUUAAGUCCCAUAACGAGCGCAACCCCUAUCUUUAG